rnacentral:rRNA from 1 species
UACGGAGGGUGCAAGCGUUAUCCGGAUUCACUGGGUUUAAAGGGUGCGUAGGAGGGCAGGUAAGUCAGUGGUGAAAUCUUCGAGCUUAACUUGGAACUGCCGUUGAUACUAUCUGUCUUGAAUAUUGUGGAGGUGAGCGGAAUAUGUCAUGUAGCGGUGAAAUGCUUAGAUAUGACAUAGAACACCAAUUGCGAAGGCAGCUCGCUACACAUAUAUUGACUCUGAGGCACGAAAGCGUGGGGAUCAAACAGG